AUAGAUCGACGGGGUCAAUGAUUGAUCAAGAAGGGCUCGUGGCCUAGUUUGGUGGCUUCCAUUGCACCCAAGGAAGGUCGCCAAACUAAGGACAGCUCAAGUGGUAGUUCCUACGUCAUAAUUUUUGGUUGUGGGGGCCUACAUUCGUGCGGCCCCUCU